rnacentral:rRNA from 1 species
GAUGAACGCUGACAGCAUGCUUAACACAUGCAAGUCUUUGGCGAAGCUGUGCUUGCACAGCCUAGCCAAGGCGGACGGGUGAGUAACGCGUAAGGAACUUGCCCUGCAGUCAGGGAUAACAGACGGAAACGACUGAUAAGACCUGGUAAAGUCAGGCGGACUCAUGUCCAGCCUGAUGAAAAGAGAUGCUGCAGGAGAGCCUUGCGUCCUAUUAGCUUGUUGGUGGGGUAACGGCCCACCAAGGCGAUGAUAGGUAGCCGGCCUGAGAGGGUGGACGGCCACAAGGGGACUGAGAUACGGCCCUUACUCCUACGGGAGGCAGCAGUGGGGAAUAUUGGACAAUGGGGGCAACCCUGAUCCAGCAAUUCUGUGUGCACGAUGAAGGUUUUCGGAUUGUAAAGUGCUUUCAGCGGGGAAGAAAAAAAUGACGGUACCUGCAGAAGAAGCGACGGCUAAAUACGUG